AUGAACGCUGGCGGCGUGCCUCAUACCUGCAAGUCGAGCGAACGGACGAGAAGCUUGCUUCUCUGAUGUUAGCGGCGGACGGGUGAGUAACACGUGGAUAACCUACCUAUAAGACUGGGAUAACUUCGGGAAACCGGAGCUAAUACCGGAUAAUAUUUUGAACCGCAUGGUUCAAAAGUGAAAGACGGUCUUGCUGUCACUUAUAGAUGGAUCCGCGCUGCAUUAGCUAGUUGGUAAGGUAACGGCUUACCAAGGCAACGAUGCAUAGCCGACCUGAGAGGGUGAUCGGCCACACUGGAACUGAGACACGGUCCAGACUCCUACGGGAGGCAGCAGUAGGGAAUCUUCCGCAAUGGGCGAAAGCCUGACGGAGCAACGCCGCGUGAGUGAUGAAGGUCUUCGGAUCGUAAAACUCUGCUAUUAGGGAAGAACAUAUGUGUAAGUAACUGUGCACAUCUUGACGGUACCUAAUCAGAAAGCCACGGCUAACUACGUG
rnacentral:rRNA from 1 species